UAUUCCAAAUCACCAUCCUUAUCCUCAUGUCAUUCUCUUUCCUCUUCAUUUUUCGCUUUUGACUCCUACUUAUCAACAAGAGUAGGAUUAGGGCUUGUGGGCCCGUAUGCAGUGAUACUGGGCUCGACCGACCCUAGAGUAAAUAUAAUUCUUUAUUUAUUAUUUAUAUAUAUAUAUUAUCUCUAUAAUAAUAACAUAAAGAUUAUAAUACUCUAGGUCGAGCACAGUAUCAGGCAUACUGCCCCCAUUAUAUAUCUCUCAUAUAUACUAUAUAUAUUUCUCCCAUUCUCCCCCUUACCGUUCCUUAUUUUAAUACCAUCAUUAAUCCAACCCAUUUAUCAUGUCCCCAUUCCCCUCCCUAAACUCCCCGACUAUCUAGGCUUAAGAAUGAUAGUUUUUUAACAAUUUGAUUGCUUAAUUAUGGUCAACUGAGUUAUUCAAGUAUUUGGUCUAUUAUACACUGAAAUAAUUGACAUUGUAUCAAUCCGCUAGGUGCAUAAAUAAUCACGAAAUAACCAUAAUUGAAUUCAAAUAAUUAUAUGCUUUAAAACAAGAAUAUAUGUCCCAUACAAAAAGAGAAGCUCAAGUAAUAUGAAUGGUUAUUAAGGUUCUCAUUCUGUUAUGUCAAGAUUCAUAUAUGUAAGUAAUUCACUUGUUUCCUUGGCAUAUGCUAGAAUUAUGUAAAAAUGUCCAUAUAACACAGCACACUAUCAAAUUUAAGCAUCAAAAUAGAUUUUUAUAGUUCACAUGAGUAUACUUACAGUCAAAUAUAUCCUUAAACCACUAAUUAAGCCAAAAUUGACAAAAAAAUUCAAAAAAUUGGACACUUUUAUAUUACCAUUACCCUUAUCAAUUACCUACUCAUAAUAAAAAUAUACUAGCAAGUUUUAAGAACCCUCACUCCCAACUUAAACUGUGUAGUGUCCUCAAUGCAAAAUGAGAACUAUCAAAAUAAAGGGAAUGAAGUCAUCUAUGAGCAUAACGUCCUUCAACUAGUGCAACUUCCUUUUCUUCUAAUCUACCUGGUAAACACGCAACGUUAAUUCUUCAACGGAUGUUAGAACACAUACCAAAAGGUGCAGUUUAAUAAGAUAAGCAUAAAAUAAAGCAAAAAUAGGAAAAUUAAAAACUAUAUGUAUAAACCAACAUAAAUCAUGGGUGAUUUCAAAUAUUGAAAUCUACCAUCGCCUUUGGCUGUGAUGAAAGCAGGGAUCGCAUCCGGAGGCCCGCUUAACCUCGAACAAAAAUUGUUCUCCGAUCACCAAUAUAGGUACUUUUAAAACUCUCUAUUUUUGGGCACUUGGAAUAUUGUUUGUUCCACCACUACUCCUUUUUAAAAUAAUCAUGUAUUUUGGAGGUUUGUGACCAAUCUUGAAUGAGAUAAGGGUCCACAGCCCAUUUAAAAUUGUCAACACCAAUAAAGUCAAUUAGCUCUAUUUCAAUGAAGGAAUUCGUUGGAAAAGCAUGACUAAGAUUAAUCAAUCUAAAUUUAUUCUCACAUUAAGUAGGUUCUUUUGCCGGUGUGAAAAGUUCAUCUACAAUAGUUUUGUGGUCCUCACUGAUGAGAUCAACCUCAAAACUACUGGGUUCACUCUGUGUGUCGCACACCUCACUAUUAUCUUCUUCACAAAAGGUCUUUACCUCCCAUAUUUGUUCUUGUUGCCUUUUAGUCCAUGACUUAUUCUCAUCGUGUCCAUUAAACGUGUGAACUAGUUUAUCUACUUGGAUUUCUAAUUCGGCAAUUGAUUAACAUUCGGACGCGAAUGCUUGAAUAGUAGUUCAUAUUCUCGUAAAGUUUGCAACAUACUAUCCUCAAAAUUAAUAUUUUCUUGAGGUAGUGGAGGAUAGUAAUGUUGGUAGGGCUAUUCAGGAGGGGCAAUAUACUGGGAAGGAAGAUGGAAGUAUUUUGGCAUCAUCUACGCUAAGGUUCUGUGUCCAAGAGGAAUUGGAGUAAGUUUUCCACUCAUUGUUUGGGAUUAACGAGUGAUGAUUUAUCACUAACUAGGAUUCACACAUCCUGAGUUGUAGAGAACGUAUUUUUUAAUAACAAAUCGAAAAAACUCAAUGAGCAUGAUCAACAUCAAAUCAACAAGCUAUAGUGGCUAUGAUUGGAACAUAUAGGAUAUGGCUCAUUGUACACAAUUUCUCAAACCAAGGGGUGGAGGUGAGUUGUAGAAGAGUUUAAGCAAUCACAUUCGUAGUUGGAUUGUGGCACUUCAAAAUUAUAUUAGAAAGGCACCAUUUUUUUAAACUUUUUUUACACAAAUUAAGUAAGAAAAUAAAUACUUAAAACCCUAGUAAUAAAAUCACAAGAACUCAAUCUUGGCAUUUUAGCUCCCUGGCAAUGGCGCCAAAAAUGCGUUAAAAAUGUACAUAAUAUAAGCAAAAGAAUGCUAAAAUGUAGGGAAAUUCAUAGAUAAAUAGUAACAAAUGGUGUUUAAUCAUUUGGGGCUUUUUCAACUUUCGCAACUCGUUCGGACAAGUUUAGUUAUGCUUUAGC
rnacentral:lncRNA from 1 species